AGUGAACGCUGGCGGUAUGCCUAACACAUGCAAGUCGAACGGCAGCACAGUAAGAGCUUGCUCUUACGGGUGGCGAGUGGCGGACGGGUGAGGAAUACAUCGGAAUCUACUUUUUCGUGGGGGAUAACGUAGGGAAACUUACGCUAAUACCGCAUACUACCUACGGGUGAAAGCAGGGGAUCUUCGGACCUUGCGCGAUUGAAUGAGCCGAUGUCGGAUUAGCUAGUUGGCGGGGUAAAGGCCCACCAAGGCGACGAUCCGUAGCUGGUCUGAGAGGAUGAUCAGCCACACUGGAACUGAGACACGGUCCAGACUCCUACGGGAGGCAGCAGUGGGGAAUAUUGGGCAAUGGGCGCAAGCCUGAUCCAGCCAUACCGCGUGGGUGAAGAAGGCCUUCGGGUUGUAAAGCCCUUUUGUUGGGAAAGAAAAGCAGCAGGUUAAUACGCCGCUGUUCUGACGGUACCUAAAGAAUAAGCACCGGCUAACUUCGUG
rnacentral:rRNA from 1 species